AUGAGCGUGCGGGGCGACCCGGCGGCGGCGGCUGCUCCCGGGGAGGAGACGGCGGAGGAGCUGCUGGCGCGCGUGAGGGGCAUGGUGCAGGCGGCGGUGGGCGCCGCCACGGCCGCGGAGGGGUUCCCGGGCCGGUGGAAGGCGAUCGCGGCCAAGCUGGGCGCGCUCCCGGCGCGCCUGUCCGACCUGUCCAGCCACCCCUGCUUCGCCCGGAACGCGCUCUGCCGCGAGCUGCUGCACUCCGUGGCCGCCACGCUCGCCGACGCGGCGGAGCUCGCGGCGCGGUGCCGGGGCCCGCCCAGGGACGGCAAGCUGCAGACGCAGAGCGCCAUCGACGCCCUCGGCGCCCGGCUCGAUGUCAACCUCCGCGACUGCGCGCUGCUCGUCCGGACCGGCGUGCUCUCCGACUCCGACGCCUCCGCCGUCGCCGCCCCGGCCACGGCGCAGGCGGACGUGCGGGAGCUGCUCGCGCGGCUGCAGAUCGGGCACGCCGACGCCAAGACCCGCGCGGUGGACGGGCUGCUCGACGCGCUCAACCGGGACGAGAAGAGUAUCGUGUCGCUGCUCGGCCGCGCCAACGUGUCCGCGCUGGUCCAGCUGCUCACGGCGCCGGCGCCCAAGGCGCGGGAGAAGGCCGCCAUGGUGAUUUGCCGGCUCGCCGAGUCGGGAGGCGGCGCCUGCGAGGGGCUGCUGGUGUCGGAGGGCGCGCUGCCGCCGCUCAUCCGGCUGGCCGAGUCCGGCAGCAGCCUCGUCGGCCGCGAGAAGGCCGUGCUCACGCUGCAGCGCCUCUCCGCGUCCCCCGACGUCGCGCGCGCCAUCGCCGGCCACGGCGGCGUGCGCCCGCUCAUCGAGAUCUGCCAGACGGGGGACUCCGUGUCCCAGUCCGCGGCAGCCGGCGCGCUCAAGAACCUCUCCGCGGCGCCCGAGGCGCGGCAAGCGCUGGCCGACGAAGGCAUCGUCCGCGUCAUGGUCAGCCUGCUGGACUACGGCACCGUGCUAGGCUCCAAGGAGCACGCCGCCGACUGCCUGCAGAACCUCACGACGGGCGGCGACAGCUUCCGGCGCGCCGUGGCGCACGACGGCGGGCUGCGCAGCCUGCUCCUCUACCUGGACGCGCCGUCGCCGCAGGAGUCCGCGGUGCGCGCGCUGGGGAACAUGGUGGACGCCAUCUCCCCCGACACCAUCGUCUCGCUCGGCGUGCUCCCGCGGCUGGCGCACGCGCUCAGGGUCGGCUCGGCCGGCGCGCAGCAGGCGGCGGCCGCGGCGAUCUGCAGGAUCGCCGCCAGCGGCAGCAAGGACAUGAAGCGGCUGGUGGGGGAGCACGGCUGCAUCCCGCUGCUGGUGCGGAUGCUGGAGGCCAAGUCGGGCGGCGCGCGGGAGGUGGCGGCGCAGGCGGUGGCGAGCCUGGCGGCGGGGCACCCGGGCAACGCGCGGGAGGUGCGGAGGGACGAGAGGAGCGUGCCGAGCCUGGUGCAGCUGCUGGAGCCGAGCCCGGCGAACACGGCGAGGAAGUACGCCAUCGCGUGCCUGGCGACGCUGUCGCCGGCGAAGCGGUGCAAGAAGCUGAUGGUCUCGCACGGCGCCAUCGGGUACCUGAAGAAGCUGUCGGACAUGGAGGUCGCCGGCGCCCGGGACCUGCUGGAGCGGCUGGAGGAGCGCGGCAAGCUCCGUAGCAUCUUCGGCAGCAAGAACCAGUAA
rnacentral:rRNA from 1 species